rnacentral:lncRNA from 1 species
UGAGCCGUCACCCUAUAGCAACCUAGCCAAGUACAAGUGUGGUGCCAUGUAUUCAAUAAAAUCAGCACCUUUCAUGUGCCGCCAUCUCUGGAGGUUGGAAGGGAUAAAUUGUUGAUAAGUAGCUAGGUCACAAAUUUUGGAUGAAAUAGUUGAUCACUAGUUAGAGCAAUUAUGGUUUUUUACAAUUAUGGAACAGCAUGCUCUCG